rnacentral:tmRNA from 1 species
GGGGGUGAUUGGCUUCGACAAGGAAAUCGGUGUGUGCGUGCGCGUUGCGAGAGCGAGUGACUCUCUCAAACCACUCAAACAUUCAAGUGCGAACAAAGUAGCACGUGCAGUUUUGUCACCUAUUCAGAUGGCAGAUCUGCAGUUCGCUUACGCGCGAGCCUAAGCGACCGUCCAUGGAGCUGAUGCUUGAUUAAGCUUCACUGGGCGUCAUUCUUUCAAGCACUGAUGAAAUGCGCUCUCGUUUCAUCUAAGACUUAGAGCUCGGAAAUGUAUGGUUCUGUUCAUCUCAUACAUGCAUUUCUUAAAUCGGGCUUCGCCCGAAGAGAUGUUCUACGCAUCGUAGACACACUCACAACAUCUUUCUUUGCACCGGGGUUCGAUUCCCCGCGCCUCCACCA